GAAAAGAAAUCAACCGAGAUUCCCUAAGUAGCGGCGAGCGAAAGGGGAUUAGCCCUUAAGUGGUUUUGGUGUUAGUAGAAGGCUCUGGAAAGUGCCGCGAUAGAGGGUGAUAGCCCCGUAUACGAAAACACCUUAAUCAUGAAAACGAGUAGGACGGGACACGUGUUAUCCUGUCUGAAUAUGGGGGGACCAUCCUCCAAGGCU
rnacentral:rRNA from 1 species